rnacentral:rRNA from 1 species
GUGGGGAAUUUUGGACAAUGGGCGCAAGCCUGAUCCAGCAAUGCCGCGUGCAGGAAGAAGGCCUUCGGGUUGUAAACUGCUUUUGUACGGAACGAAAAGGCUCUGGUUAAUACCUGGGGCUCAUGACGGUACCGUAAGAAUAAGCACCGGCUAACUACGUGCCAGCAGCCGCGGUAAUACGUAGGGUGCAAGCGUUAAUCGGAAUUACUGGGCGUAAAGCGUGCGCAGGCGGUUUUGUAAGACAGAGGUGAAAUCCCCGGGCUCAACCUGGGAAUUGCCUUUGUGACUACAAGGCUGGAGUGCGGCAGAGGGGGAUGGAAUUCCGCGUGUAGCAGUGAAAUGCGUAGAUAUGCGGAGGAACACCGAUGGCGAAGGCAAUCCCCUGGGCCUGCACUGACGCUCAUGCACGAAAGCGUGGGGAGCAAACAGGAUUAGAAACCCCUGUAGUCC